GGGUCAGUAGGUUGGUCGUGCCACCGGUACGUACUGGUCUCACUGAUUCCUCCUUCCUGAAGAACCGUAAUGCCAUUAAUUUGGUGUUGCGGGGAAACAGGACUGUUACUUUGAAAAAAUUAGAGUGUUUAAAGCAAGCUAACGCUUGAAUACAUUAGCACGGAACAAUGAAAUAGGACGAUCGAUCCUAUUUUGUUGGUUUCUAGGAUUGACGUA
rnacentral:rRNA from 1 species